rnacentral:misc_RNA from 1 species
UCAACCAUCAAGCCUGGCUUGCUGUUGGACUUCUGUGACUGAAACAUGUGGCAGGUCUGAAAAAUAAUGACGGUGUCACGUUUGACCCUAGAUGCAACGAGCUUUUUAUAGCACGCAUUGAAGUGGUCAACUGAACUGGUCUUAACCAUCAAUUUCUAA